GGCUAUCACUUUUGGAUGGUCCCGCGGCGUAUUAGCUAGAUGGUGAGGUAACGGCUCACCAUGGCAAUGAUACGUAGCCGACCUGAGAGGGUAAUCGGCCACAUUGGGACUGAGACACGGCCCAAACUCCUACGGGAGGCAGCAGUAGGGAAUCUUCCACAAUGGACGAAAGUCUGAUGGAGCAACGCCGCGUGAGUGAAGAAGGGUUUCGGCUCGUAAAACUCUGUUGUUAAAGAAGAACAUAUCUGAGAGUAACUGUUCAGGUAUUGACGGUAUUUAACCAGAAAGCCACGGCUAACUACGUGCCAGCAGCCGCGGUAAUACGUAGGUGGCAAGCGUUGUCCGGAUUUAUUGGGCGUAAAGCGAGCGCAGGCGGUUUUUUAAGUCUGAUGUGAAAGCCUUCGGCUCAACCGAAGAAGUGCAUCGGAAACUGGGAAACUUGAGUGCAGAAGAGGACAGUGGAACUCCAUGUGUAGCGGUGAAAUGCGUAGAUAUAUGGAAGAACACCAGUGGCGAAGGCGGCUGUCUGGUCUGUAACUGACGCUGAGGCUCGAAAGUAUGGGUAGCAAACAGGAUUAGAUACCCUGGUAGUCCAUACCGUAAACGAUGAAUGCUAAGUGUUGGAGGGUUUCCGCCCUUCAGUGCUGCAGCUAACGCAUUAAGCAUUCCGCCUGGGGAGUACGGCCGCAAGGCUGAAACUCAAAGGAAUUGACGGGGGCCCGCACAAGCGGUGGAGCAUGUGGUUUAAUUCGAAGCUACGCGAAGAACCUUACCAGGUCUUGACAUACUAUGCAAAUCUAAGAGAUUAGACGUUCCCUUCGGGGACAUGGAUACAGGUGGUGCAUGGUUGUCGUCAGCUCGUGUCGUGAGAUGUUGGGUUAAGUCCCGCAACGAGCGCAACCCUUAUUAUCAGUUGCCAGCAUUAAGUUGGGCACUCUGGUGAGACUGCCGGUGACAAACCGGAGGAAGGUGGGGAUGACGUCAAAUCAUCAUGCCCCUUAUGACCUGGGCUACACACGUGCUACAAUGGAUGGUACAACGAGUUGCGAACUCGCGAGAGUAAGCUAAUCUCUUAAAGCCAUUCUCAGUUCGGAUUGUAGGCUGCAACUCGCCUACAUGAAGUCGGAAUCGCUAGUAAUCGCGGAUCAGCAUGCCGCGGUGAAUACGUUCCCGGGCCUUGUACACACCGCCCGUCACACCAUGAGAGUUUGUAACACCCAAAGUCGGUGGGGUAACCUUUUAGGAACCAGCCGCCUAAGGUGGGACAGAUGAUUAGGGUGAAGUCGUAACAAGGUAGCCGUAGGAGAACCUGCGGCUG
rnacentral:rRNA from 1 species